ACUUCCAGAUGCUUAGUACGGCGAGUGAGCGGCAAAAGCUCCAAAUUUGAAAUCUGGCACCUUCGGUGUCCGAGUUGUAAUUUGAAGAAGGUAACUUUGGAGUUGGCUCUUGUCUAUGUUCCUUGGAACAGGACGUCACAGAGGGUGAGAAUCCCGUGCGAUGAGAUGCCCAAUUCUAUGUAAAGUGCUUUCGAAGAGUCGAGUUGUUUGGGAAUGCAGCUCUAAGUGGGUGGUAAAUUCCAUCUAAAGCUAAAUAUUGGCGAGAGACCGAUAGCGAACAAGUACAGUGAUGGAAAGAUGAAAAGAACUUUGAAAAGAGAGUGAAAAAGUACGUGAAAUUGUUGAAAGGGAAGGGCUUGAGAUCAGACUUGGUAUUUUGCGAUCCUUUCCUUCUUGGUUGGGUUCCUCGCAGCUUACUGGGCCAGCAUCGGUUUGGAUGGUAGGAUAAUGACUAAGGAAUGUGGCUCUACUUCGGUGGAGUGUUAUAGCCUUGGUUGAUACUGCCUGUCUAGACCGAGGACUGCGUCUUUUGACUAGGAUGUUGGCAUAAUGAUCUUAAGCCACCCGUCUAAAAAAAGGGAAAAAAAAAAAAAAAAAAAUUAAGGAGAUGAAAAA
rnacentral:rRNA from 1 species